UACGUAGGGGCAAGCGUUGUCCGGAAUUAUUGGGCGUAAAGCGCGUGUAGGCGGUCCGGUAAGUCGGCUGUGAAAGUCCAGGGCUCAACCCUGGGAUGCCGGUCGAUACUGCCGGACUAGAGUUCGGAAGAGGCGAGUGGAAUUCCCGGUGUAGCGGUGAAAUGCGCAGAUAUCGGGAGGAACACCAAUGGCGAAGGCAGCUCGCUGGGACGUUUACU
rnacentral:rRNA from 1 species